GUUCGAUUCCGGAGAGGGCGCCUGAGAAAUGGCGACCACUUCUAAGGAUGGCAGCAGGCGCGGAAAUUACCCAAUGAUAACACAUUGAGGUAGUGACAAUUAAUAACAGCAGCGGGUACCUUACGGUCCUGCUGACUGGAAUGAGUACAAUUUAAACUCCUUAACGAGGAACUAUUGGAGGGCAAGUCUGGUGCCAGCAGCCGCGGUAAUACCAGCUCCAAUAGCGUAUGUGAAUACUGUUGCAGUUGAAAAGCUCGUAGUCGAAUAUCAGUCCUGCCGCCUCCGCCCGAUCUCCUAGUGAGUUCGUUUGGUGUUGAGUGUGGUGGACUAUUUUGCAGUUUGUUGCCUUCCUGCCCUUGAUUGGGUUGGGUUGGUAGCGCUGCUCAAUCACUGUGAACAAAUCGGAGUGUUCAAAGCAAGCAAUUAUUGCCUGCACGCCCAAGCAUGGAAUGAUAAUAAUGGACUCUGGCUCUAUUUUGUCGGCCCUUGGAGCUUGGAGUCACGAUUGAUGGGGGUGGACGGGGGUGUCCCUAUUCAGUGGGGAGAGGUGAAAUUUGUGGAUCCACUGAAGAGGCCCUGAAGCGAAAGCUGACAUCCAGAACACUUCCAUUCGAUCAAGAACGAGAGUUGGGGGAUCGAAGACGAUCAGAUACCGUCGUAGUCUCAACCUUAAACGAUACCGACUUGAGAUUGGUGAUUGUUGUUUUUAAGACGUCUCCAGGAUCUUAGAGAAAUUAAAGUCUUUGGGUUCUGGGGGGAGUAAGGUCGCAAGGCUGAAACUUAAAGAAAUUGACGGAAGGGCACCACCAGGAGUGGAGCCUGCGGCUUAAUUUGACUCAACACGGGGAAACUUACCAGGUCCAGACAUAGUGAGGAUUGACAGAUUGAAGAUCUUUCUUGAUUCUAUGGGUAGUGGUGCAUGGCCGCUCUUAGUUGGUGGAGUGAUUUGUCUGGUUUAUUCCGAUAACGAGCGAGACCUCAGCCUACUAAUUAGUGUGCUGAAUUUCGAUUCAUGUUUACUUCUUAGAGGGACUCUCAGCGCGUAGCUGAUGGAAGCUUGAGGCAAUAACAGGUCUGUGAUGCCCUUCGAUGUUCUGUGCCGCACGCGUGCUACACUGGUACAGUCAACGAAUCUUCUCCUGAGCUGCAAAGUUUGGGUAAUUUGUUGAAACUGUACCGUGCUUGGGCUUGACCCUUGCAAUUUUGGUCAUUAACGAGGAAUUCCUAGUAAUCGCAAGUCAUCAUCUUGCAAUGAUUACGUCCCUGCCCUUUGUACACACCGCCCGUCGCUUCUACCGACGAAUGGUCCGGCGAAUACUUUGGAUACGAGUGAUUAAAGUGGGCAACUGCUUUUUUCAUUUAUUAGAAAUUGUGUAAACCUUACCAUUUGGAGGAAGAAGAAGUCGUAACAAGGUU
rnacentral:rRNA from 1 species